CACGCUUCCAGGAAAAGCCACUAAGCUUCAGCUGUAGAAAAACCGUACCGCAAACCGACACAGGUAGGCAGGGUGAGAAUCCCAAGGCGCUUGAGAGAACUCGGGUGAAGGAACUAGGCAAAAUGGCACCGUAACUUCGGGAGAAGGUGCGCCUCUUGGUGUGGUCACGUGCGUGACUGAGCAUCGAGGGGUCGCAGUAACCUGGCCGCUGCGACUGUUUAUCGAAAACACAGCACUCUGCAAACACGAAAGUGGACGUAUAGGGUGUGACGCCUGCCCGGUGCUGGAAGGUUAAUUGAUGGGGUCAGCCGCAAGGCGAAGCUCUUGAUCGAAGCCCCAGUAAACGGCGGCCGUAACAAUAACGGUCCUAAGGUAGCGAAAUUCCUUGUCGGGUAAGUUCCGACCUGCACGAAUGGCGUAACGACAGCGGCGCUGUCUCCACCCGAGACUCAGUGAAAUUGAAAUCGCUGUGAAGAUGCAGCGUUCCCGCGGCAAGACGGAAAGACCCCGUGAACCUUUACUAUAGCUUUACACUGAACGUUGAGUUCUUCUGUGUAGGAUAGGUGGGAGGCUAUGAAACCAGGACGCUAGUUCUGGUGGAGCCAUCCUUGAAAUACCACCCUGAAGUGCUUGACGUUCUAACCUAGGUCCGUAAUCCGGAUCGGGGACCGUGUAUGGUGGGUAGUUUGACUGGGGCGGUCUCCUCCCAAAGAGUAACGGAGGAGCACGAAGGUACGCUCAGCGCGGUCGGACAUCGCGCACUGUGUGCAAAGGCAUAAGCGUGCUUGACUGCGAGAUCGACGGAUCAAGCAGGUACGAAAGUAGGUCUUAGUGAUCCGGUGGUUCUGUAUGGAAGGGCCAUCGCUCAACGGAUAAAAGGUACUCCGGGGAUAACAGGCUGAUACCGCCCAAGAGUUCAUAUCGACGGCGGUGUUUGGCACCUCGAUGUCGGCUCAUCACAUCCUGGGGCUGUAGCCGGUCCCAAGGGUAUGGCUGUUCGCCAUUUAAAGUGGUACGCGAGCUGGGUUCAGAACGUCGUGAGACAGUUCGGUCCCUAUCUGUCGUGGGCGUUGGAGAUUUGAGGGGGGCUGCUCCUAGUACGAGAGGACCGGAGUGGACGUUCCGCUGGUGUUCGGGUUGUCAUGCCCAUGGCAUUGCCCGGUAGCUACGAACGGAAGUGAUAACCGCUGAAAGCAUCUAAGCGGGAAGCACGCCCCAAGAUGAGAUCUCCCGAGAGCUUGACUCUCCUAAAGGCACCAUCAAGACUAGGUGGUUGAUAGGCACGGUGUGGAAGUGCAGCAAUGCAUUGAGCUUACGUGUACUAAUGAGCCGUGAGGCUUGACC
rnacentral:rRNA from 1 species